rnacentral:tRNA from 4 species
GUCUCAGUGGUGAAAUGGUAGACACGUCUGUCUUAGAAACAGAUGCAUCAAAAUGCGUGAGAGUUCGAAUCUCUCCUGAGAUACCA